AGAAGAAACAGGUUAAAGAAUUAGAUGUGGUCCUCACAGGGAAUAUUUGCCCCUGGCCGCAGACACAAAGGAUGCAUUUCAAGCUCUCCCAAGAACUCUUGCAGUGCUCCAUUCCGGUGUCCUCAGAAAUGGCCCUGAGUCUCAGCAGCUCAAAAAGACUCCAGUUGGAUAGUGAGAAGCCACUGCUUCUUUGCAAGAACCUUCCCAAAUUUCUUUAAGUUCUAGGAGAAUAACAAAAAGAAGGAAGAUUCAGUAGGAAAGGAAAGCAAUGAAGAAGCCAAGAAAGAGACAAGGAACCCUGGAAAGAGAGUCAGCAAAGAGAGAAAUAGAAACAUUAAUUUCAGAGGAGUUGGAAGUGUUGUGAACUAUUAAUCCUUUGGCUUUGCUUUGGACUUGAGAGCAAAAGUAGCUGCAUGCAGAAGUAAAAUUGUUAAGAAUGUCACAUAAAACGUGAGGGUGAGCCCAGCAUGAAGGAACAGCCUCUUCCAUUGGUGAGGUGAAGAAACUGAAGACUUUAGCCAGAGCCAAGUGGCUAAUUCGGAGUUUAAUACACAUUUGACCUCAAAGCCAUAAACAUUCACCUUUGAACAGUGCCUCCCUCUCUGAAAUACUGGUUCUGUCAUUAAUUAUUAA
rnacentral:lncRNA from 1 species